CUCACUGAAUCUUCUAUAAUAUCUUCCUUAAUUAACUUAUUUACCUGCAUGUUUAUCUCUUAAAUUUGAGACUCUGGUAAUCUUUAAUUCUUUAUAUAUACGGGUGUGCUAUCUGUAGUUUGUAUGCGAAGUUCAUAAAAAUUGUUGACACUUAACUUCUCACCUGUAAUGUGAAAAAUGUCCUGGAACUCAUUUAUAAUGGUUUUAACUGUCUCUCUGGCAUAUGUGUCAACCGAUCCUAUAUCCAGGCUUUCAAAUAGUGCAUUCGCUCUUGCAUUGGUAUUUCUCUCAUAUUUAUUGUUAGCGUAAUACACAUCGUACUCUCCUAAAUUCCUGAUAUACAAAUUUAUACCUUGUAAUUCAAUAGAUAUACUAUUAGUGUUCAAGUCCAUUCUGGGGUAUUAAACAAUUAGCCACUUCCUUAUUCAGUAUCACGCUAUACUCUUUUAUCUUCAAUUCAAUUGGAAUGAUAACCUCAGAUCGCGCGGGCAGAACAAUGUUAUUUAUUUUAUGUUUUGAGUGUAAUGGUAAUAUUGAGACGUCCGCCCCCGUGUCAAUCAGAAAUGUUAAAUUCUUGCCUAUGGUUGUGCACCUCAGCGUUAAAUAUGCCAUUGAUUUCAGUGAAAUAUUGUAAAUCUUUAUAUUUAGUCUUCGUGGACAAUUUCUUCCGUCAUCCUAAAUUGGACACGUGUUGUAAGUGGCCGGCCUUCGGCCGCGGCUUGAGUUUUCUCCUCUGAGUAUGUCCCUCGCCGGCUAAUGCGAAUCAAAGUUUUCUAAAUUUGACACUUUUUGUAAAUAGCCGGCCUUCGGCCGGGACUUGAUAUUUUCUAAUCUGAAUAUGUCCAACACCGGCUAAGGCGAACCAAAGUUUUCUAAAUUGGAUACCUUUUGUAACCAAUGACGGCUACGCGAGAUAAACUUUUUUACUGAAAAUAUAAUUUUAAUGAACUGGUUAGAAUCGGGUUAUGCGGAUGGAAGGACACAAUUCAUUAAUCUCUGCCAUCUAUAUAUUAUAAUUACUAAAAAUAUAUUCAUUUAUUACAAAAUUAUGUAUUACAAAAUAUUUCUUCAAAUAUAUUUACUAGUGUGAACCCCCCUUACGAAAUCAAAGCAUUGCAAUCACCAAAGAUUAAUCUAUCUCAUUCGAAUCAACUCCGAUUGUGGUUACUGGUUAUUAUUGUACCCGACUAGUUGUUAUUGUUGAUAAAUGUGAUAAUUCCUUUUCUAUAGUUUCUACUUCUUAAUUCUUCUUAUUUUUCUUGUGGUUUUUUACUAUUCCUUGUAAUUCUUAAAUUUUUAUUAUUUUUAGUGCAAUAAUAAUAAUAAGCAAUAAUUAUAGCUUAAUUUUCCCAUAAUUUUAAGAUUUUAAUAUUUAAGUGCAAUAAAUAAUAGUUUUUAUAGGUUUUACUUCAUUAAUUUUUUCUUUGUUGCAUUUGUGUUUCAAAGUCGCCCACUAGAAUCCAUAGUUCGGAUGCAAUGUGCCUCGGUGGUGGAGGAUCAGCGUAAAUAGCAGACUUCAAACCAGCCAAUCGUCUACGCAAUCUCACGAUCUUACUACCUCUUCUAAGCUUUGGCUUCUCUGUUGAUGGAUAUGUCAUCCUUCUUCCUUUGCUGUCUAGCCAAAUAUUCUUUUAUGGACAGACGGGAUGGACCAGGAGUUGUCGCUGGAAUCUCGGCUUCCACUGGUAAUCUUUCCAAGUCUGGCAGGAUCGCCAUGUGAUGCCCACUACUCUGGGAAGUUAUUUUUAGGCCUGCCUAAUAUUUUAGCCUGCGCUUAAAAACGCCCCUGGCUGCAAAAAUUGAGUUUUUUGUAUUUUUGCCGGCACAAAAUAAUGUCAGCGGCAAAAUAUUUAUGAAGUACUUUAUUUAGCGUUAAAGAAAAACAAGUAAAAAAACUGUAAGUUCGGCCGGGCCGAACUUUUAAUACCCUCCACCAUUUGGUACAAAUUUGGCAAUUUUCAAAAAAAAAAAUCUGUUAAAAUCUUAAAAAUGCCGAAUGGCUAUACGACGACGUGGACCUGCAUAGUCAAAUUUUGUCAUAAGUUAUUACAAUAUUUAAAUGCGAAACUUGAAGAAAAAUCUGUUUAAAAUAUAGCUAAAAUCAUCAAAAUGCUGAAUAUAGGGGGUACCGUUAUAUGGGGGCCAUACGAUGACGUGGACCUGCACAGACAAUUUUCUGGGAUGGGCUGAAGUAUCCAUUACGAACUUCACAUGCGAAAUUUAAAACAAUCCCGGUAAAUAAUGCCGCUAAAAUCAUCAAAAUACCGAAUAUCGGGGGGUACGGUAUAUGGUGGCUAUACGAAGGCGGGGACCUACAUGGCCCAUUUUCUGUUUUAUGCUGCAGUAUGUAUUACGAACUUCAAGCACCAAAUUUGGAACGAUUCCGUUAAAUAAUGUCGCUAAAAUUAUCAAAAUACCGAAUAUCGGGGGGUACCGUUAUAUGGGGGCUAUACCAAGACGUGGACCUACAUGGCCCAUUUUCUUUCUUAUGCUGCAGUAUGUAUUACGAACUUCAAACACCAAAUUUGGAACGAUUCCUUUAAAUAAUGUCGCUAAAAUCAUCAAAAUACCGAAUAUCGGGGGGUACCGUUAUAUGGGGGCUAUACGAAGACGUGAACCUACAUGGCCCAUUUUCUUUUUUAUGCUGCAGUAUGUAUUACGAACUUCAAACACCAAAUUUGGAACGAUUCCUUUAAAUAAUGUCGCUAAAAUCAUCAAAAUACCGAAUAACGGGAGGUACCGUUAUAUGGGGGCUACAUGAAAACGUGGACCUAUACAUAUAAUGUUA